rnacentral:misc_RNA from 1 species
GAUGAAGAACGUAGCGAAAUGCGAUAAGUAAUGUGAAUUGCAGAAUUCAGUGAAUCAUCGAAUCUUUGAACGCACCUUGCGCCCUUUGGCCAUUCCGAAGGGCAUGCCUGUUUGAGUAUCAUGAACACCUCAACUCUUUAUGGUUUUCCAUGAUGAGCUUGGACUCUGGGGGUUUUGCUGGCUCACAGUCGGCUCCUCUAAAAUGAAUCAGCUUACCAGUGUUUGGUGGGUAUCAUGGGUGUGAUAACUAUCUACGCUUGUGGUUUUUCCACCAGGUAACCUUCAGCAGUGGAGGUUCGCUGGAGCUCAUAGAUGUCUCUUCUCAGUGAGGACAGCCCUUUGAAUGUUUGAUCUCAAAUCAGGUAGGACUACCCGCUGAACUUAAGCAUAUCAAUAAGCGGAGGA